CCCAAUGAUCCCCCCACCCCCAGCACAUGCUCUAAGAGAGGACAAAAAAGUGCAAGAAGACCAUGGGCUUUGGGGCCAGACUGCCUGGAGUUGAAUCUGAGUUCCUCUUUAAAAACUGUUUGAACUUAGAUACCCACAAACAAUUUGCUGGAGCGGUAGAAUGAAAAUGGAUUAUUUCUGGAAAAAUACAAUGGAAAUGGAGAUUGCUACCCAUUUUAAAGAUUACCUUUUCAA